CCUAAGAAGGGGGAGGACCUGAACCCUGCUAAGAGUCAAUACCCCUGCAGGAGUCCACGGGACCAUACACACUUACUCUCUCUCUCUCUCUCUCACACACACACACACACACACACACACACACACACACACACACACACACACACACACACACACACACACACGCAUACUUGCUACUGCAGCCUGAAUGAGCUCAAAGCAGAAGGAGAAGCAGAGCGAGGAAGCAGGAGUGUGAGAGAGGGGAGGAGGAAUCUCUGGAGUUACUACUUGUUGCUUUUUUGGUUUUUCUGUGUGGAUUGAGGAUGGUAUUUCUUCUGCUUUCCCUGCGGCAGUGGGACCUUGUCUGAGAGUCUCCUCCAGAGAGGUCAGGACGCCGACGCAGCAUGCCCGGCAGCUCCUCAGACAAGAACCCCCCCACCAUGGAGGCUACGUCCACUGCUGCCACGCCUUUCAGAGUCACCGGCUUCCUCAGUCGCCGGCUGAAGGGCUCCAUAAAACGCACCAAGAGUCAACCCAAACUGGACCGAAACUCCAGCUUCAGACACAUCCUGCCUGGCUUCAGGAGCGUUGACAAUG